UACGUAGGGGGCAAGCGUUGUCCGGAUUUAUUGGGCGUAAAGAGCGUGUAGGCGGUUAUGCAGGUCCGCUGUGAAAACUGGAGGCUUAACCUCCAGACGUCGGUGGAAACCGUAUGACUAGAGUCCGGAAGAGGAGAGUGGAAUUCCUGGUGUAGCGGUGAAAUGCGCAGAUAUCAGGAAGAACACCCGUGGCGAAGGCGGCUCUCUGGGACGGUACUGACGCUGAGACGCGAAAGCUAGGGGAGCGAACGGG
rnacentral:rRNA from 1 species